UGGGGAAUAUUGCACAAUGGGGGAAACCCUGAUGCAGCGACGCCGCGUGAGCGAAGAAGUAUUUCGGUAUGUAAAGCUCUAUCAGCAGGGAAGAUAAUGACGGUACCUGACUAAGAAGCCCCGGCUAACUACGUG
rnacentral:rRNA from 1 species